CCGAGUGAGGCCUCCGGGCCGACCUCCAACCCUUUUGUUAUCCGACCAUGUUGCCUCGGGGGUGACCCGGACGCCUCGCGGCGCUGGGUGCCCCCGGUGGACCACAACCAAACUCUUGCAUCUUUGCGUCUGAGUAACGAUGAAUCAAUCA
rnacentral:misc_RNA from 1 species